rnacentral:rRNA from 1 species
AACGAACGCUGGCGGCAGGCUUAACACAUGCAAGUCGAGCGCCCCGCCAGGGGAGCGGCAGACGGGUGAGUAACGCGUGGGAACGUACCUUUUGGUUCGGAACAACUCCGGGAAACUGGAGCUAAUACCGGAUAAGCCCUAACGGGGAAAGAUUUAUCGCCGAAAGAUCGGCCCGCGUCUGAUUAGCUAGUUGGUGAGGUAACGGCUCACCAAGGCGACGAUCAGUAGCUGGUCUGAGAGGAUGAUCAGCCACACUGGGACUGAGACACGGCCCAGACUCCUACGGGAGGCAGCAGUGGGGAAUAUUGGACAAUGGGCGCAAGCCUGAUCCAGCCAGGCCGCGUGAGUGAUGAAGGCCUGAGGGUUGUAAAGCUCUUUUGUCCGGGAAGAUAAUGACUGUACCGGAAGAAUAAGCCCCGGCUAACUUCGUG